rnacentral:rRNA from 1 species
UACGUAGGGAGCAAGCGUUGUCCGGAAUCAUUGGGCGUAAAGCGCGCGUAGGCGGCCUCGUAAGUCCGUUGUGAAAGUCAAAGGUUCAACCUUUGAAAGCCGAUGGAUACUGUGAGGCUAGAGUCCGGAAGAGGCGAGUGGAAUUCCUGGUGUAGCGGUGGAAUGCGCAGAUAUCAGGAGGAACACCAAUAGCGAAGGCAGCUCGCUGGGACGGUACUGACGCUAAGGCGCGAAAGCGUGGGGAGCGAACAGG